GCCGGGGUGGUGAAAUUGGUAUACACGUGGCACUCAAAAUGCCAUGGGCGCAAGUCCGUGGGAGUUCGAGUCUCCCCCUCGGCACAA
rnacentral:tRNA from 1 species